UGCAAGUCGAACGGAAGUAGCAAUACUUCAGUGGCGAACGGGUGAGUAACACGUAAGUAACCGACCUUAAAGACGAGGAUACCCCCUGGAAACGGGGGCUAAAACUGGAUAGGACGAGAGAUCAAAAGAACUUUCGUUUAAAGGUGCAACUGCACUGCUUUAAGCCGGGCUUGCGGCGCAUUAGCUAGUUGGUGAGAUAAUAGCCCACCAAGGCAACGAUGCGUAGCAGCGCUGAGAGGCGGAACUGCCACACUGGGACUGAGACACGGCCCAGACUCCUACGGGAGGCAGCAGUAGGGAAUUUUCGGCAAUGGGGGGAACCCUGACCGAGCAAUGCCGCGUGAAUGAUGAAGGUCUUCGGAUUGUAAAAUUCUGUCAAUGGGGAAGAAUGGUGUACGGAGUGGAAAGCCGUACACGUGACGGUACCCGUUUAGAAAGCCCCGGCUAACUAUGUGCCAGCAGCCGCGGUAAUACAUAGGGGGCAAGCGUUAUCCGGAUUUAUUGGGCGUAAAGAGUGCGUAGGUGGUUCGUUAGGUCAGGCGUAAAAGAUCACAGCUCAACUGUGUAGGGCGUUUGAAACCGGCGGACUUGAAUAUGGUAGAGGCAGGUGGAAUUCCACGUGUAGCAGUGAAAUGCGUAGAUAUGUGGAGGAACACCGAUGGCGA
rnacentral:rRNA from 1 species